rnacentral:rRNA from 1 species
UACGUAGGGGGCAAGCGUUAUCCGGAUUUACUGGGUGUAAAGGGAGCGUAGACGGCGAUGCAAGUCUGAAGUGAAAGGCGGGGGCCCAACCCCCGGACUGCUUUGGAAACUGUAUGGCUGGAGUGCAGGAGAGGUAAGUGGAAUUCCUAGUGUAGCGGUGAAAUGCGUAGAUAUUAGGAGGAACACCAGUGGCGAAGGCGGCUUACUGGACUGUAACUGACGUUGAGGCACGAAAGCGUGGGGAGCAAACAGG